UUCGAGUGGCGGACGGGUGAGUAACGCGUGGGUAACCUGCCUUACACAGGGGGAUAACACCUGGAAACAGGUGCUAAUACCGCAUAAGCGCACAGGGCCGCAUGGCCCGGUGUGAAAAACUCCGGUGGUGUAAGAUGGACCCGCGUCUGAUUAGCUUGUUGGCGGGGUAGGGGCCCACCAAGGCGACGAUCAGUAGCCGGCCUGAGAGGGUGGACGGCCACGUUGGGACUGAGACACGGCCCAAACUCCUACGGGAGGCAGCAG
rnacentral:rRNA from 1 species